UACGUAGGGACCAAGCGUUGUUCGGAUUUACUGGGCGUAAAGGGUGCGUAGGCGGCCGGGUAAGUCUGAUGUGAAAUCCCGCAGCUUAACUGCGGAACUGCAUCGGAUACUCUCCGGCUAGAGGAAUGGAGGGGAGACUGGAAUUCUCGGUGUAGCAGUGAAAUGCGUAGAUAUCGAGAGGAACACCAGUGGCGAAGGCGAGUCUCUGGACAUUUCCUAACGCUGAGGCACGAAAGCCAGGGGAGCAAACGGG
rnacentral:rRNA from 1 species